rnacentral:RNase_P_RNA from 1 species
GGAGCAACCAAUCCAGUCGCUGUCGCUUCGUGCGAUGGAGGAAAGUCCGGGCUCCGCAGGGCAGAGUGCAGGAUAACAUCCUGUGAGUGCAAACUUAAGGAAAGUGCCACAGAAAACAAACCGCCUCGUAAGAGGUAAGGGUGAAAAGGUGAGGUAAGAGCUCACCAGCCGUCGAGUGAUCGCCGGGCUUGGCAAACCCCGCUCGGAGCAAGAUCGAAUAGGGGAGGAUGAGGCGGCCCGCUGACUCCCGGGUACGAUCGCUAGAUCUCAGUUGUAAAGCUGAGACAAGAUAAAUGACUGGGCACGACAGAACCCGGCUUACUGGGUGCUCCAAAC